AGCACCUAUAAGCACCUUCCCCUCUGUAAUAAAGUCACAGAUCAAAAGCUCCGUUGUGAGGUUAUAGCUCUUCCUGGAGGCUCCUUGUGUAUCUGUUACCAGCACCCCAUUAUAACUCCAGACGACCAGCAUGGACAGG